rnacentral:rRNA from 1 species
AACCUACGGGGGGCAGCAGUGGGGAAUCUUCCGCAAUGGACGAAAGUCUGACGGAGCGACGCCGCGUGAGUGAUGAAGGCCCUUGGGUCGUAAAGCUCUGUCAUCGGGGACGAACGGCUUUAUCAGGAAAUGGGUAGAGAUUGACGGUACCCGAGAAGGAAGCCACGGCUAACUACGUGCCAGCAGCCGCGGUAAUACGUAGGUGGCGAGCGUUGUCCGGAAUUAUUGGGCGUAAAGCGCGCGCAGGUGGGAUCUUAAGUCUGUUCUGAAAGUUCGGAGCUUAACUCCGUGAUGGGAUGGAAACUGGGAUUCUUGAGUAUCGGAGAGGAAAGCGGAAUUCCCCGUGUAGCGGUGAAAUGCGUAGAUAUGGGGAGGAACACCAGUGGCGAAGGCGGCUUUCUGGACGAUGUCUGACACUGAGGCGCGAAAGCCAGGGGAGCGAACGGGAUUAGAUACCCCAGUAGUCAA